CAUAUUCCAACAUGGCGGGGGAAAGUCGUAUGGAAAAGGUGAACAUGUCCAAAGAGUUUGCCAAAUUGUCCGGCACUGACCAGUAUUUUGUUCGUAAAUUAGAACAGAUGAACAAGGAUCGAGCUAAAGAAUUGAAAACGCUUAGAAGAAAAAACUGGUUAACAGCCCUUGUGAUUGGCACUGGUGUUAUUUCAAUAUAUUGUUAUACCAUUUAUGCUGUGAAGCAAGAGAGAUUCCUGCAAGAUUUUGACAAGGUACCAGACAAAAAGUGAUUGAAUCCAUUGUUGCCUGUAUGGCUGUCUCCCCCGAGUCUGCUCAGCGCCUGUGUGAUGUUGAAAUGCAUGAAGUGUAUUGCACAAUCAACAAACUGUGACAGAGGAAAAUCUCCAACUCUGGAGAGAUAUUUAAGUCAUAUUCGAGGCACCUGCAAUGUGAAUAUUCAGACUUAACUGUGUAAAAGUGUGUGUGAGUAUGUGCCAGCCGUGGUGAUCUAGAAUAUUGCUAAGAUGCAACCAUUCAUGAAAUUGUUUUGAAAAUGUUCAGUAUCGGCAUGCUACCAUUCCUAAAAAUCUUUUUAGGAAACUAUAAAAGCAUGUGGCAGGUAUAGUUUAGUUAAUUUAUUCCUUAUUACUCCUCGAGUGGCAGGUAUAACAAGGUUCUCUUUUUCCUCAUUUUGGGGAAUUAUACUUCAAGAUGAGGUGUAGAAGUAAAGACUAUGUUGUCUUCAUAUUAUAUUCUAGAGUUUCAGCUUGAUGUAUUAUUAGUAAAUAUAUUAAGAUUUCUUGCUUAAUCAUAAUAGAGAGGAAUUUAUAUGUUGUGGAUGGACAAGUCAAACAGAGUACAUGUUACGUGAAUUUUGUUAUGCAUUAAAACAUUUGUUAAACUACAAGUAGAUUGUAAUUUUAGUGCAAGAAAACAGGUCCACCAUUUGAAAAUGUUGAACAUCACUACAUAAUACAUAGUAAAGAUUUUUAAAGGCAGUAGUUUCUGAAUAAACUUUGAUGUUAUAAUCUUUGGA